UACGUAGGGUGCAGGCGUUAAUCGGAAUUACUGGGCGUAAAGCGUGCGCAGGCGGUUUGCUAAGACAGGUGUGAAAUCCCCGGGCUUAACCUGGGAACUGCGCUUGUAACUGGCAAGCUGGAGUGUGGCAGAGGGGGGUGGAAUUCCACGUGUAGCAGUGAAAUGCGUAGAUAUGCGGAGGAACACCGAUGGCGAAGGCAGUCCCCUGGGCCUGUACUGACGCUCAUGCACGAAAGCGUGGGGAGCAAACAGG
rnacentral:rRNA from 1 species